UACGUAGGGUGCAAGCGUUAAUCGGAAUUACUGGGCGUAAAGCGUGCGCAGGCGGUUGUGCAAGACAGAUGUGAAAUCCCCGGGCUCAACCUGGGAACUGCAUUCGCGACUGCACGGCUAGAGUGUGUCAGAGGGGGGUAGAAUUCCACGUGUAGCAGUGAAAUGCGUAGAUAUGUGGAGGAAUACCGAUGGCGAAGGCAGCCCCCUGGGAUAACACUGACGCUCAUGCACGAGAGCGUGGGGAGCAAACAGG
rnacentral:rRNA from 1 species